rnacentral:rRNA from 1 species
UACGGAGGGUCCAAGCGUUAUCCGGAUUUAUUGGGUUUAAAGGGUGCGUAGGCGGCUUAUUAAGUCAGUGGUGAAAGCCUGCAGCUUAACUGCAGAACUGCCAUUGAUACUGAUGAGCUUGAAUAUACUUGAGGUUGGCGGAAUGUGUCAUGUAGCGGUGAAAUGCUUAGAUAUGACACAGAACACCGAUUGCGAAGGCAGCUAGCUAAAGUAUAAUUGACGCUGAGGCACGAAAGCGUGGGGAGCAAACAGG